UGGGGAAUAUUGCACAAUGGGCGCAAGCCUGAUGCAGCCAUGCCGCGUGUGUGAAGAAGGCCUUCGGGUUGUAAAGCACUUUCAGCGAGGAGGAAGGUGGUGAGCUUAAUACGCUCAUCAAUUGACGUUACUCGCAGAAGAAGCACCGGCUAACUCCGUGCCAGCAGCCGCGGUAAUACGGAGGGUGCAAGCGUUAAUCGGAAUUACUGGGCGUAAAGCGCACGCAGGCGGUUUGUUAAGUCAGAUGUGAAAUCCCCGGGCUCAACCUGGGAACUGCAUUUGAAACUGGCAAGCUAGAGUCUCGUAGAGGGGGGUAGAAUUCCAGGUGUAGCGGUGAAAUGCGUAGAGAUCUGGAGGAAUACCGGUGGCGAAGGCGGCCCCCUGGACGAAGACUGACGCUCAGGUGCGAAAGCGUGGGGCAGCAAACAGGAUUAGAUACCCUGGUAGUCCACGCUGUAAACGAUGUCGAUUUUGGAGGUUGUGCCCUUGAGGCGUGGCUUCCGGAGCUAACGCGUUAAAUCGACCGCCUGGGGAGUACGGCCGCAAGGUUAAAACUCAAAUGAAUUGACGGGGUCAUAGCUGUUUCCU
rnacentral:rRNA from 1 species